UCAUGGGAAAGAGGCAAGCCCAUGAAGUCCUAGCAACAAGUCUCCUGCCUCUAAAAUUACGCUCCACAAGACAAACUCAUCCACUCCUCCGUCUUCUCAUCCCCAAGGCCUAAGACAUCUCUGACCUUAUCUCCAAAUACAGUCACCUUCCAAGAUACUGAGGAUUAAGACAUCAACAUAUGGAUUUAAGGGGACACAAUUCAACCCCUUGCAAAGAGCUACAGAUAUCUUUAUUCUACUACUCAUAAAAUGUCUUAGGAAUACAAUAGCCAUUAGAACAUUAACUGGUUGCAAAAGGUUGAAUUGCUGAAGAAACCAGCUGUUUUUCAGAAAGAGAAAAAGCUUUCAUGCAGCAUUCUUCAUUUAGAAGUGGAAUCUCCCUCUGUCAACCAGGCUGGAGUGCAUUGGCUUGAUGUCAGAUCUUGGAUCACCGCAGCCUCCGUCUCCUGGGUUCAAGUGAUUCUCCCGCCUCAGCCUCUCGAGCAGCUGGGACUACAGGAAGGCACCACCAUGCCUGGCUAAUUAUAAGUCUUUUGACUCACUCUUGUUCGUCCUACUUUCUUUUGCUUUUAUAUUCCAGUCAAACCAAAUUUCUCAUGGCUUUACGCAACUUUGACUUUAUAAGUUCUGCCCUACCAGCCUCUUGGACUUACCUUCUCUAUUUUUAACUGCCUAGUUCUUAUUAAAGACUGAAGUAAAGCACCUGCUUUCUGUGAAGCAUUUCUUCCAACUCCCUCACACAACAUGAAUUGCUCUCUGCUUUGUCUUCUAACAGUCUUUCAGUGCUAC
rnacentral:lncRNA from 1 species